rnacentral:rRNA from 1 species
UACGUAGGGGGCUAGCGUUGUCCGGAUUUAUUGGGCGUAAAGAGCGUGUAGGCGGCUUGGCAAGUCUGCUGUGAAAACUCGAGGCUCAACCUCGAGCUGUCGGUGGAAACUGCUUGGCUAGAGUCCGGAAGAGGAGAGUGGAAUUCCUGGUGUAGCGGUGAAAUGCGCAGAUAUCGGGAGGAACACCAGUGGCGAAGGCGGCGAUCUGGGGAAGAUACUGACGCUGAGGAGCGAAAAGCAUGGGGGAGCGAAACAGGGAU